UGUGAACUCGAAGAGUAGGGCGGGACACGUGGUAUCCUGUCUGAAUAUGGGGGGACCAUCCUCCAAGGCUAAAUACUCCUGACUGACCGAUAGUGAACCAGUACCGUGAGGGAAAGGCGAAAAGAACCCCGGCGAGGGGAGUGAAAAAGAACCUGAAACCGUGUACGUACAAGCAGUGGGAGCACCUUCGGGUGUGACUGCGUACCUUUUGUAUAAUGGGUCAGCGACUUAUAUUCUGUAGCAAGGUUAACCGUAUAGGGGAGCCGCAGGGAAACCGAGUCUUAACUGGGCGUUAAGUUGCAGGGUAUAGACCCGAAACCCGGUGAUCUAGCCAUGGGCAGGUUGAAGGUUGGGUAACACUAACUGGAGGACCGAACCGACUAAUGUUGAAAAAUUAGCGGAUGACUUGUGGCUGGGGGUGAAAGGCCAAUCAAACCGGGAGAUAGCUGGUUCUCCCCGAAAGCUAUUUAGGUAGCGCCUCGUGAACUCAUCUUCGGGGGUAGAGCACUGUUUCGGCUAGGGGGUCAUCCCGACUUACCAACCCGAUGCAAACUACGAAUACCGAAGAAUGUUAUCACGGGAGACACACGGCGGGUGCUAACGUCCGUCGUGAAGAGGGAAACAACCCAGACCGCCAGCUAAGGUCCCAAAGUCAUGGUUAAGUGGGAAACGAUGUGGGAAGGCACAGACAGCCAGGAUGUUGGCUUAGAAGCAGCCAUCAUUUAAAGAAAGCGUAAUAGCUCACUGGUCGAGUCGGCCUGCGCGGAAGAUGUAACGGGGCUAAACCAUGCACCGAAGCUGCGGCAGCGACACUAUGUGUUGUUGGGUAGGGGAGCGUUCUGUAAGCCUGCGAAGGUGUGCUGUGAGGCAUGCUGGAGGUAUCAGAAGUGCGAAUGCUGACAUAAGUAACGAUAAAGCGGGUGAAAAGCCCGCUCGCCGGAAGACCAAGGGUUCCUGUCCAACGUUAAUCGGGGCAGGGUGAGUCGACCCCUAAGGCGAGGCCGAAAGGCGUAGUCGAUGGGAAACAGGUUAAUAUUCCUGUACUUGGUGUUACUGCGAAGGGGGGACGGAGAAGGCUAUGUUAGCCGGGCGACGGUUGUCCCGGUUUAAGCAUGUAGGCUGGUUAUCCAGGCAAAUCCGGAUAAUCAAGGCUGAGGUGUGAUGACGAGGCACUACGGUGCUGAAGUAACAAAUGCCCUGCUUCCAGGAAAAGCCUCUAAGCAUCAGGUAACAUCAAAUCGUACCCCAAACCGACACAGGUGGUCAGGUAGAGAAUACCAAGGCGCUUGAGAGAACUCGGGUGAAGGAACUAGGCAAAAUGGUGCCGUAACUUCGGGAGAAGGCACGCUGGUGUGUAGGUGAAGUCCCUGCGGAUGGAGCUGAGACCAGUCGAAGAUACCAGCUGGCUGCAACUGUUUAUUAAAAACACAGCACUGUGCAAACACGAAAGUGGACGUAUACGGUGUGACGCCUGCCCGGUGCCGGAAGGUUAAUUGAUGGGGUUAUCCGUAAGGAGAAGCUCUUGAUCGAAGCCCCGGUAAACGGCGGCCGUAACUAUAACGGUCCUAAGGUAGCGAAAUUCCUUGUCGGGUAAGUUCCGACCUGCACGAAUGGCGUAAUGAUGGCCAGGCUGUCUCCACCCGAGACUCAGUGAAAUUGAACUCGCUGUGAAGAUGCAGUGUACCCGCGGCAAGACGGAAAGACCCCGUGAACCUUUACUAUAGCUUGACACUGAACAUUGAGCCUUGAUGUGUAGGAUAGGUGGGAGGCUUUGAAGCGUGGACGCCAGUCUGCGUGGAGCCAACCUUGAAAUACCACCCUUUAAUGUUUGAUGUUCUAACGUUGGCCCCUGACCGGGGUUGCGGACAGUGUCUGGUGGGUAGUUUGACUGGGGCGGUCUCCUCCCAAAGCGUAACGGAGGAGCACGAAGGUUAGCUAAUCCUGGUCGGACAUCAGGAGGUUAGUGCAAUGGCAUAAGCUAGCUUGACUGCGAGCGUGACGGCGCGAGCAGGUGCGAAAGCAGGUCAUAGUGAUCCGGUGGUUCUGAAUGGAAGGGCCAUCGCUCAACGGAUAAAAGGUACUCCGGGGAUAACAGGCUGAUACCGCCCAAGAGUUCAUAUCGACGGCGGUGUUUGGCACCUCGAUGUCGGCUCAUCACAUCCUGGGGCUGAAGUAGGUCCCAAGGGUAUGGCUGUUCGCCAUUUAAAGUGGUACGCGAGCUGGGUUUAGAACGUCGUGAGACAGUUCGGUCCCUAUCUGCCGUGGGCGCUGGAGAAUUGAGGGGGGCUGCUCCUAGUACGAGAGGACCGGAGUGGACGCAUCACUGGUGUUCGGGUUGUCAUGCCAAUGGCACUGCCCGGUAGCUAAAUGCGGAAGAGAUAAGUGCUGAAAGCAUCUAAGCACGAAACUUGCCCCGAGAUGAGUUCUCCCUGAGACUUUAAGUCUCCUGAAGGAACGUUGAAGACGACGACGUUGAUAGGCCGGGUGUGUAAGCGCAGCGAUGCGUUGAGCUAACCGGUACUAAUGAACCGUGAGGCUUAACCUU
rnacentral:rRNA from 1 species